rnacentral:rRNA from 1 species
UACGUAGGGUGCAAGCGUUGUCCGGAAUUAUUGGGCGUAAAGAGCUCGUAGGCGGCUUAGUAAGUCGGGUGUGAAAACUCUAGGCUCAACCUAGAGACGCCACCCGAUACUGCUAUAGCUAGAAUCCAGUAGGGGAGUGUGGAAUUCCCAGUGUAGCGGUGAAAUGCGCAGAUAUUGGGAGGAACACCAGCGGCGAAGGCGGCACUCUGGGCUGGUAUUGACGCUGAGGAGCGAAAGCGUGGGUAGCGAACAGG